rnacentral:rRNA from 1 species
UACGGAGGGGGCUAGCGUUGUUCGGAAUUACUGGGCGUAAAGAGUGUGUAGGCGGUGCUCCCAGUCUGUUGUGAAAUCUCCCGGCUUAACUGGGAGGGUGCAGCGGAAACUAGAGUGCUAGAGGGUGGGAGAGGUAAGCGGAAUUCCGUGGUGUAGCGGUGAAAUGCGUAGAUAUCAGGAGGAACACCUGUGGUGUAGACAGCUUACUGGACCACUUCUGACGCUGAGACACGAAAGCGUGGGUAGCAAACAGG